CCUACGGGAGGCAGCAGUGAGGAAUAUUGGUCAAUGGACGGAAGUCUGAACCAGCCAUGCCGCGUGCAUGAAGACUGCUCUAUGAGUUGUAAACUGCUUUUGUACAAGGGUAAACCUGAAUACGUGUAUUCAGCUGAAAGUCCUGUACGAAUCAGGAUCGGCUAACUCCGUGCCAGCAGCCGCGGUAAUACGGAGGCACCAAGCGUUAUCCGGAUUUAUUGGGUUUAAAGGGUGCGUAGGCGGAUUGAUAAGUUAGAGGUGAAAUGUCCGCGCGUACCGCGGGAACUGUCUCUAAUACUGUGGAUCUGGAGAGUAGGUGGGGUAGGCGGAAUGUAUGGUGUAGCGGUGAAAUGCUUAGAGAUCA
rnacentral:rRNA from 1 species